GGCAUGGACGCAAACUAUGCAACGUAUAAAACUUAUUCUAGUUAUAAACAUUUCAAAUCAUGAACGACAACGACACAUCAUGGUUAAUAACACAUAACUUUAUUUUACAACAGCACAAGUUAUAAUGUGUUACUUUAGAUGCAUAGUAUAUAUUUUUAAAACUAUAUAUCUCUUUCAUUAUGUCAUUUGCUGUUUUAUCUUUAAAAUAUCUUUUAUCAUUGGCUCUAUUUAGUCGCGAUAUGCGCAUUCAUCAUAAGGACACACACUUUAAAGUUUUAGUAACAAUGCGGUGUUUUAACGAUUUGCCUAAUGUGUCACAUACAAAAGGUAGUAUGAUACAAUUCCAAUUGAAUACAAUAGUCAUAAUCAAUAGAAAAUUUAAAGAAACACACACAUUUAUCUUAAACUAACUUAUAAAAUAAAAGAGUAUAUUCUUGUCAUUUUUACUACUUUGAAAAAUGGUUAUAGUUUUUAAAAUCAGUUUUGAUUCCUCUAAGGUUUUCCACUUUUAACCAGUUCCUAUACGCUAAUGGAUAAUAUCUUUGUGAUGGUUGAAGAACCAAACGUUCACAAGAUGUUAUCAUUUCACUGAGAUGAUCGUUCCUCCCUCGAUAUAGUUUAUGUCGAAUUGUACUAGAUACUGUAGGAUGACUUACUCUCUUUACAUGUUUUCUUUGUUCCUUGAAAGAACUUCCUGUUUUCAUCAUAUUGUCUAUUUCCGAUUCCUUUUUCGUCUGCAAAUAAAUUGA
rnacentral:lncRNA from 1 species